CCCUCUCGCCUAUCAGCCACCGAACCGGCUUGACGUGCCGGCCGGCACGUUAACUCACAAAUUAUUUCAAUGUAAUAUUGUCCAAAGUACAAUAAAUUCUCAAACUCAAGAAUGCAUUUUAUUAACUAGUUCUGCGUGAACAAAGUGGCGACCGUGACAGGACCUACAGUCUUCGGAUCGAAGCAAUUUUUCGAGAUUUCACACCGCGUGUCCAGUCGAAGGCACGAGAAGGCAUUCCUCGAACACGAGCAGACAAGUUUCCAUCUACCAAAAACGCCAACAUCACCCUGCGUGUCGAUUACCUGCGCCGAGAACCUUCGUCGAGCCAACCUAACCUGCACGUCUACCUUGAAACUCGAAGCCUACAUCUCCGAACAGACACGAGGAUUCCUAUACCUACACUACGUGUGCUCCUGCCUACCGAGGGGACAGUCUGGAUAUCAAGCCCGGAGCCGGCUGCCUACUGCACUGCGCGCCCUACAUUGCGCGGCUGCCUACCUGCACUGCACGCCCCUACGCGACGUGCCGCUGCCUAUCUGCACCGAGCCCUACCUUGCGCGCCGCUGCCUACUGCACCGUCAAGCCCCGGAGCCCAGCUGCCUGCCUAACUAAAACGACUGGAGCAAGCCCGUCAAGACUUCUGGAAGAGGUGGUCAAUGGAGUACGUAGCCGAGCUGCAGCAGCGCACGAAAUGGAAGGUGCGAUGCAGAGACCUCAAGGUUGAUGACCUAGUCCUGAUUAAGGACGAGAGCGCACCGCCGCUAUGCUGGCGCCUUAGACGAAUAUCCAGACUCUUCCCCGGCUCUGAUGGAGUGCCGCGAGUCGCAGACGUCUCUACAUCCCAAGGCAUCGUUCGAAGGGCCAUGAACCGCCUAUGUCUACUGCCGUCGCCGAAUGAAGACACCUUAGAACUCCUGAAAGCUACCUAGCUUUCAAGCCCCGGAGGAUGUCUAUGACAGACAGCUUCACAUCACUACCGUUCAAUCUCAUUCGGUCCGCGCGCGCGUUCACUCUCCCAUUCACUGUAUCCCCUCUCGCCUAUCAGCCACCGAACCGGCUUGACGUGCCGGCCGGCACGUUAACUCACAAAUUAUUUCAAUGUAAUAUUGUCCAAAGUACAAUAAAUUCUCAAACUCAAGAA